CAGUACCCGUAGGAGAAGAAAAUAAUAAUGAUUCUGCUAGUAGUGGCGAACGAACGUGGAUGAGGCUAAACCGUGUGCAUGUGAUACCUGGUAGGGGUUGUGUGUGCGGUGUUGUGGGCCCUGAUGAGGAUGGCUACUGACGUCCUGCCCGCGCAUUGUUGUUAGGUGAAGUGGUGUGGAAACGCCUGCCGUAGAAGGUGAUAGUCCUGUAGCUGAAGAUGAUGGUGUGUGGGUUGUUGGGUUGCCCGAGUAGCAGCGGGCUCGUGGAAUCUGCUGUGAAUCUGCCGGGACCACCCGGUAAGCCUAAAUACUCAGUGUGACCGAUAGUGGAUAGUACCGUGAGGGAAUGGUGAAAAGUACCCCGGGAGGGGAGUGAAAUAGUUCCUGAAACCAUGU
rnacentral:rRNA from 1 species